UUCCACAGAAAUUGAUACUGCGUGAGGUAAAAUUCACUUUUUUUCAGAAGAUCAGCAAAAGGUUUCUCAAGCUCUGUUGCGUGCAGAUGCCCAAGCCUCCUGCUGUGUCUGCAUUCACAGGUCUCAAUGUGCUCAGAAAGUGGGCAGUUUCCAACCUGAAGGAAACUUAGCUUCUGCUUUAAACUUCACAGCUGGCUGUGCUAACAAGCCCAUGUUCAAAGCAUUAAUAGGCCCCUGCUUGAAGGGUAGGGUUAAGAGCUAAGCCAGGCUAAAACUCAAUGUGAACGUUAGUUUUUUGACUGCUGACGGUCCUGGUGCAGACAGAUGUUAGUCAAGUAACAAACCCUUCUGAGGAAAUUGUCCACUAAAUAUCAGAUUAUUUGCUUGCAAUUGCUUGUACACAUUUACUGAGAAAAACAAAGAAUUUGGCCACCUGAAGUGGCAACAGUAAAUUAUAUAUGUUAACUGACACUUGAUUACUUUAUACUAAUUGGUUUAGUAAGUACCAAUUAUAUCCCUAAAUGUUUUUCUGAAUGUUAAUGUAUCAGCUACACUCCUCAUUUUCCUAUGUAUUUUGUGGUUAGAAAAUGAAGCAGAAUUUCUCUUUCAUACCUAUUAGUCAUAAUUACAUUAUCUAUUAAAAUGAUAUUUCAGAUGUAAUGAUAUCUGCAAGCAUGCUUAGACUGAAGUUCUCAACAUUCAUACUAAAUAUUAACCCAUUAUAUUGCUGUAGGCAGAAGCAUGUGGAAAAAAAAACAAACAUGGAGGGGAAAAACCUUCAGAAUAUGAAGCUAUGAACAGAAGAAAUACAGAGGAAUUGACAAAGUUAAUUGGUUCAGAGGUUGAACAGACAGCUUCCAUUAGAAAUGUGGGUCUUUGGAUCAGAUGCCUGGAAGGCCAGACUGUGAAGUCAUAAAUUUCAGUUACUCUUGUACCUGUGGAGUUUGUGGAAGACUUAACCCCAACUACUUUAUGCACCAAAACACCUAAUGAAUUCCAUACAAGAUACACUGGUUUAACAGUAGAAGUUGUGAAGGUCCAGAGCAUGGAGCUGACAAUGAAGAAGCAAUAAAUUUGCUCAUCUCCUUCCUACCAAGAUCUAUAUCUGGCACUUGGCCAUAGUCUACCACCAAUUGAAGCCAAAAGCUCUGUUACAAUGAAUCCUGCACUCUGUUGAAAAGUCAAUAGCAAUAAAUGGCCCUUAAGCAACAGAAAUAUAGAAAAUGGUAAAACUUUAUUCACAUAAAUCAAAAAUGUCACCCAUUGGCCUUAACUAGGAUGAAUAGUUAUGUAUUAUUUAUGCUGUGGUAAUGCCUCAGGGCAAUGACAAUUCAGUGAGAGCUGGAACCGGUACAAAUGUCCAACAGGAUGGAUAAACUCUGAAAGAACAGUCUGCCAGAAAAAAUGUCAGAACAGAUGCCAGGAGCGAGUUGAAAAAGAAGGCUUUUUGCAUACCCUGCUGCUCUGCCUGGGAGGUAAAAAGGGGUAAUCUUUUUGCACACCACACGAAGCAGGUGAUAUUCUUUUGCUACCAGAAGGAUCUGAAAACUUUGUGAAAAUGGUGCUGUUUAAUACUUUCCCAUGGCAAAGGUUAGCUCCUACAUGUGUGUGUUAGUUGAAUAAAACAUUUUCUUAUUAAAGUGAUAUGCUUCAGAAGGAUUUUGUAACUGAUGAGAGUAUAGGAAAAAUACAGAUUGCCACUGAAUUUUUUAGUGACACAUGUCACAGCCCUAGCUGGCUGCUGCAUAUCACAAAAUACAGAGAAGCAUGCAUAGUCUGUUGGAAGGCUGUUUAUUUCAAAGAUGCAGACGUUUAAAAGAGCUGUAAAGGGCAUAUUGUUAUGCAGACUUUCAAGCAUAUUAAGUCUAUUUGGAGAAAUGUGAUACAGAUAUAUUGCUGGCAAUGCACAAAGAGGUUAUAGGCAUGCUGUGUGCUAGACAAUAUGGAGUUUACAAUAUGGAAAUAAAAAUUGAUUCCAUGAAUGCUUAGUACUAAUAUAUGCAGCCUUGCAGGACAGCUUUCUAAAUUGAAUUAAAAAAUGCAGAAUUUAUUGCAACCAUUUUGUACUGAGGGAAGCAACAUGACCUUGUCAUUUCUAUACCCUCCUGAUAUGUAUAUGUUAGGAAAAUGGAAUUUCUCUUUCACUUCACGAGCAGUUACUUAUAGCUGUAUUUCCUUCCUGACAAAUAA